rnacentral:rRNA from 1 species
GGGAAUAUUGGACAAUGGGCGAAAGCCUGAUCCAGCAAUGCCGCGUGUGUGAAGAAGGUCUUCGGAUUGUAAAGCACUUUCGGCGGGGACGAUGAUGACGGUACCCGCAGAAGAAGCCCCGGCUAACUUCGUGCCAGCAGCCGCGGUAAUACGAAGGGGGCUAGCGUUGCUCGGAAUGACUGGGCGUAAAGGGCGCGUAGGCGGUUUGCCAAGUUAGAUGUGAAAUUCCUGGGCUCAACCUGGGGACUGCAUUUGAUACUGGCAGGCUUGAGUAUGGAAGAGGGUCGUGGAAUUCCCAGUGUAGAGGUGAAAUUCGUAGAUAUUGGGAAGAACACCGGUGGCGAAGGCGGCGACCUGGUUCAUGACUGACGCUGAGGCGCGAAAGCGUGGGGAGCAAAC